UCACCGAAGUUAAGCAGCGUAGAGCCAGGUCAGUACUUAGAUGGGGGACCGCUUGGGAACACCUGGUACUGUAAGC